rnacentral:piRNA from 1 species
UGCACUAAGUGUUGGUACUACUAUGUCUUC